UACGUAUGGGGCAAGCGUUAUCCGGAUUUACUGGGUGUAAAGGGAGCGUAGGCGGUACGGCAAGUCAGAAGUGAAAGCCUGGGGCUCAACCCCGGAAUUGCUUUUGAAACUGUCGAACUAGAGUGUCGGAGGGGUAAGCGGAAUUCCUAGUGUAGCGGUGAAAUGCGUAGAUAUUAGGAGGAACACCGGUGGCGAAGGCGGCUUACUGGACGACCACUGACGCUGAGGCUCGAAAGCGUGGGGAGCAAACAGG
rnacentral:rRNA from 1 species